CAUACGGCUCAGUAACGCGUAGUCAACCUACCCUAUGGACGGAAGUAACCUCGGGAAACUGAGAAUAAUAUCCGAUAGAACAUUAUGCCUGGAAUGGUUUAUGUUCCAAAUGAUAUAUCGCCGUAGGAUGGGACUGCGGUCUAUCAGUUUGUUGGUGAGGUAAUGGCCCACCAAGACUAUUACAGGUACGGGCUCUGAGAGGAGUAGCCCGGAGAUGGGUACUGAGACACGGACCCAGGCCCUAUGGGGCGCAGCAGGCGAGAAAACUUUGCAAUGUGCGAAAGCACGACAAGGUUAAUCCGAGUGAUUUCUGCUAAAGAAAUCUUUUGUUAGUCCUAGAAACACUAACGAAUAAGGGGUGGGCAAGUUCUGGUGUCAGCCGCCGCGGUAAAACCAGCACCUCAAGUGGUCAGGAUGAUUAUUGGGCCUAAAGCAUCCGUAGCCGGCUCUGUAAGUCCUCGGUUAAAUCUGUACGCUUAACGUACAGGCUGCCGGGAAUACUGCAUAGCUAGGGAGUGGGAGAGGUAGACGGUACUCGGUAGGAAGGGGUAAAAUCCUUUGAUCUAUUGAUGACCACCUGUGGCGAAGGCGGUCUACCAGAACACGUCCGACGGUGAGGGAUGAAAGCUGGGGGAGCAAACCGGAUUAGAUACCCGGGUAGUCCCAGCUGUAAACUAUGCAAACUCAGUGAUGCAUUGGCUUGUGGCCAAUGCAGUGCUGCAGGGAAGCCGUUAAGUUUGCCGCCUGGGAAGUACGUACGCAAGUAUGAAACUUAAAGGAAUUGGCGGGGGAGCAUCACAAGGGGUGAAGCCUGCGGUUCAAUUGGAUUCAACGCCGGGAAGGGC
rnacentral:rRNA from 1 species